rnacentral:rRNA from 1 species
GAUGAACGCUGGCGGCGUGCCUAAUACAUGCAAGUCGAGCGAACAGACGAGGAGCUUGCUCCUCUGACGUUAGCGGCGGACGGGUGAGUAACACGUGGAUAACCUACCUAUAAGACUGGGAUAACUUCGGGAAACCGGAGCUAAUACCGGAUAAUAUAUUGAACCGCAUGGUUCAAUAGUGAAAGACGGUUUUGCUGUCACUUAUAGAUGGAUCCGCGCCGCAUUAGCUAGUUGGUAAGGUAACGGCUUACCAAGGCAACGAUGCGUAGCCGACCUGAGAGGGUGAUCGGCCACACUGGAACUGAGACACGGUCCAGACCCCUACGGGAGGCAGCAGUAGAGAAUCUUCCGCAAUGGGCGAAAGCCUGACGGAGCAACGCCGCGUGAGUGAUGAAGGUCUUCGGAUCGUAAAACUCUGUUAUUAGGGAAGAACAAAUGUGUAAGUAACUAUGCACGUCUUGACGGUACCUAAUCAGAAAGCCACGGCUAACUACGUG